AUGGUGGUGAUCCUCUGCUUCUUUACUCUGCUAAUUCAGAAAGUAGUGCCAGUAAUACCAGUGUUGUUAAUUGCUACCCUUUUGGAUUCUGGCAACUUCAUUUUACAACAAGUGAACUCCGAUGGAUCAACAAAGAGGGUGUUGUGGCAAAGUUUUGAUCAUCCCGGAGACACCCUUUUGCCAGGUAUGAAGUUAGGUGUGAACCAUAAAAAUGGUCACAUUUGGUCACUGACAUCAUGGUCUAGUCUAUACAGUGCAGAACCGGGGGCUUUCACUCUUGAUUGGGACCCUGGUGAGCAUCAUUUGAAGAUCAAGCAACGAGGGAAGGGUACUUGGAGUAGUGGUGUCUUUACUAAUGGAAGAUUCGAGUUCCUAAUACCUGAUGAUGAUUCCAAGAAGAUGAGUGUUGCAUCACAAUGGGUGCUGAACAUCAUGGGGAGACUACAUGACUUUGAUACCAAGGUUGAUAUUGCGAGAGCAGAUUACUGUUACGGCUACAACAGUGAUGGAGGUUGCGAGAGAUGGGAGCAGCCAAGUUGCAGACAUGUUGGUGAUAAGUAUGUGCUAAAAACUGGUUACUUUCAAGCAGUAUCCAGCUCCAGUUCCAUAUAUACUAGUGAUUCGAAUACGAGUCUGGGAUAUAGUGAUUGUGGGACUACUUGUUGGAACAACUGUGGCUGCCUUGGAUUCAACUAUCGGCUUAAUAAUAUGACCGGAUGCCAGUUUUGGAGUGGAAACUGGGAGUUCAUUGAAGACCUCACUGAUGAUGACUCACGUGUUUUUCUUUAUACAACAAAGUCGACUCCCAAUAUCAAAGUACAUCAGUGGAGAUGGAUUGGCACUGGUAUUGCGUUUGCUGAACUGGUCAUGAUGUUUUGCAUUAUUUUUAUUUCAUUGAUGAUCUAUAUAGCUGAGAACAGGAGAAAGAUUCAGAAUGAGUUACUGAACCUAAUGAAAUCUAAUAGACCUGCUGAUAUGAACGGAGUUCAAAAUGAUGGAAAGAUGGAACAACAUGACUUAAGUGUAUUUAGCUAUGCAUCUCUAGUGACUGCCACGUGCAACUUCUCUGAGGAAAACAAGCUCGGAGAAGGGGGGUUUGGACCUGUUUAUAAGGGAAAAAUGGUGACAGGACGAGAAAUAGCUGUGAAGAGGCUUUCAGAAUGUUCAGGACAAGGAACUGUGGAGUUUAAAAAUGAACUGAGACUCAUAUAUGAACUCAUACAAAUCUUGCUCAGCUUUUUGGACUCUGCAUUCAUGGUGAUGAGAGGAUGUUAAUAUAUGAGUACAUGCCAAACAGAAGUUUGGACUACUAUUUAUUUGAUUCAACCAGAGCCCUGCUUCUAGAUUGCAAGACUCGUUUCAGUAUAAUUGAAGGAAUCGCUCAAGGAUUGCUUUACUUGCACAAGUACUCAAGAAUGCAAGUGAUUCACAGAGAUCUGAAAGCUAGUAACAUUCUACUUGAUGAAAAUAUGAAUCCCAAGAUUUCUGAUUUUGGUAUAGCAAGGAUCUUCACCCAUAAUGAACGAGAAGCAAAGAUUAAGACAAAGAGGAUUGUUGGGACAUAUGGUUACAUGUCACCAGAGUAUGCUAUGGGGGGAAUAUUUUCCAUAAAAUCCGAUGUGUAUAGUUUUGGAGUGCUAAUGCUUGAGAUCAUAAGUGGUAGGAGAAACACCAGCUUCUACGAUGAUGAUCGCGUGGUCAAUACAGUAGGAUAUGCAUGGGAGUUAUGGAAAGACGGUGCAGCGUUAGCGGUCAAGGAUCCAACAAUAGGUGAUUCAUGUCAUGAGGACCAAUUGCUGAGAUGCAUCCAGGUUGGUCUACUAUGUGUGGAGGAGAAUGGAGCCGAUCGGCCUACUAUGUUAGAAGUCAUUUCCAUGUUGACCAGUGAAAGCAUGUCACUACCUGCACCUACAAAGCCAGCAUUCUGUAUCGAGAGAAGAGGGGUCAGAACUGGUACUGUUGCAAAGGUUUCAGAAAAUGUAUCGAUAAAUACUAUGUUCAAUUCUGAUUAUGAUGCUCGUUAA